GGUGUGCUUCAUGGCAUAUGACGGCGUCUUUAGCACUCGCCUCACUUUCUUCAGCAUUUCCAUAUUUCUGCUCCUCCGUUCUGUUAUUGACCUGCGAAGAUGAGAAAGUGCGUCUCGCUCCAGCAUGGCUUCCAGAAACUUUAGAUCUAUGAAUGCUUGUUGCGGUUGGUUGUGGGAUCUAGCAUUUCGUUGUUACUUCGGUGACCCGUACUGCUUGUGUGCUGAUCUGUUUUUCAUUAAUGAAAUUUGGCUUUUUCCCCCCUUUUUACUUGCUUGUAGAAAUCCUGUGUUUUACUUGCAAUUUUGUUUGUAUCUCUACAUGUUCUUCGUUACGCUUCAAAUCCUUGUGCACGUCCGAUGUUUUGCAUUCUAAUAAUGAAUGAUUGUAGAAAUCUGUUUGGAUCUA